rnacentral:lncRNA from 1 species
AUCCCUUUUUUUAUGAAAUGAAAUGCAUUAAUCACUAACAGAAUUGACAUUUUCUGUUGUGAAAAAAUAAAACUUCAAGGUUACGUUUCUAAAAAUAAACAAAUCAAUUAUUAAAGACCUUGAAAUGUCGUUUGCGUUUAUUUUUAAUACAGAUAAUAAAAAAAUAUCGUCCAUUUGGAUAAAAAACGGGAAUGCAUGACAACAGAUUUACCCGAUAUUCUCGUUUUUCCAGUGAAGGAGUCUAUUACGUUUUUGACACGUGUGUUGAAACUUAUUUUCCUACGAUGUUUUUAUAUUAUUUUUGUUCUUUAUCAGUUUUCGUGCUUGAAGAUCAUUAUUCACAAGUUUUUUUAAGAGCUACGGGAAUCUGUUUUUCUUGUUUGUGAAAUGACGAUUUAAUUUCGUCUUUGUCCGUGCAUCCCCCUUUUUUUACGGGAAAUUAUUAGACAAUGUUAUGCGAUGUUUAUUGCAGCUGAGCAAUAGUAUUUCAUCGAACUAAAAAUUUAAGAAAUAUGACAAAAAAAGCAUAACAAACAUAUUAGAAGGUGAAAUAUAUAUUUAUUUUGCAUAUCAGUUUUAUGUCUUGAAAGAUAUUUUUUCUUUUUUUUUAUCCCGACCGACCGACCCGACUUUUUCAUGGAGAAAAUCCGUAAACCAACAAAUUAAAAAACCGUGGCCUAAA